UUUGACAUGUACGGAAUUCCGCAGAGAUGUGGAAGUGCUCGAAAGAGAACCGUAACACAGGUGCUGCAUGGCUGUCGUCAGCUCGUGUCGUGAGAUGUUGGGUUAAGUCCCGCAACGAGCGCAACCCUUGUCAUUAGUUGCUACGAAAGGGCACUCUAAUGAGACUGCCGGUGACAAACCGGAGGAAGGUGGGGAUGACGUCAAGUCCUCAUGGCCCUUAUAGGUGG
rnacentral:rRNA from 1 species